rnacentral:rRNA from 1 species
GACGAACGCUGGCGGCGUGCUUAACACAUGCAAGUCGAGCGGUAAGGCCCUUCGGGGGUACGACGAGCGGCGAACGGGUGAGUAACACGUGGGUGACCUGCCCUCAGCUCUGGGAUAAGCCUGGGAAACUGGGUCUAAUACCGGAUAUGACUCCAUGACGCAUGUUGUGGGGUGGAAAGCCUUGUGCGGCUGAGGAUGGGCCCGCGGCCUAUCAGCUUGUUGGUGGGGUGAUGG